rnacentral:rRNA from 1 species
AGUGAACGCUGGCGGUAGGCCUAACACAUGCAAGUCGAACGGCAGCACAGUAAGAGCUUGCUCUUACGGGUGGCGAGUGGCGGACGGGUGAGGAAUACAUCGGAAUCUACUUUUUCGUGGGGGAUAACGUAGGGAAACUUACGCUAAUACCGCAUACGACCUACGGGUGAAAGCAUGGGAUCUUCGGACCUUGCGCGAUUGAAUGAGCCGAUGUCGGAUUAGCUAGUUGGCGGGGUAAAGGCCCACCAAGGCGACGAUCCGUAGCUGGUCUGAGAGGAUGAUAAGCCACACUGGAACUGAGACACGGUCCAGACUCCUACGGGAGGCAGCAGUGGGGAAUAUUGGACAAUGGGGGCAAGCCUGAUCCAGCCAGACCGCGUGGGUGAAGAAGGCCUUCGGGUUGUAAAGCCCUUUUGUUGGGAAAGAAAAGCAGCAGGUUAAUACCCCGCUGUUCUGACGGUACCCAAAGAAUAAGCACCGGCUAACUUCGUG